GCACGUUAGUCUGUCCCUGUUCAAUUAUCAUUUUUCAUUCACAGCCCCUGCAGAGAUGCACGUCUAUAAAAAAGAAAAGCCAGAAAAAACCAGAAAACUCCUCUCUUAUGAGAGCCGAAGGCAGCGCUUGUCAUUUCCAUGGAAAUCUUCACAGAAAACCCUAGAUCUUUCAAGAUGGAUUGGAAAUCGCCGCAGGCUUCCAAGCUCAAAUCCUCCAAGAAGCUCUUCGAAUUCCAAGCCCAGUCACAGCACUUCUACUACUUAUACAAGACAGUCCUUUUUCUCUCUCUCUCAUCGAUACCUUGAAAGAAGAAAAAGAAAAGAAAAAAAGAAAAAAGAAAAAAUCAAAUCGAAAGCGCUCGUAUUUCGAUCAGACAGAGGCGAGCAAUUCAAUCUCUCUUUUCCUCAUUUUGGAUCUUUGAUUGAAGGAAUCGAAUCGAAGAAGAAGCUCGAUCUUACAGGUGUCACUCCCUUCCUUUUCUCUUGGGUUACCAGCCUACUAUAUUCUAGCUUCAUCUGAGUCUUCUUCUAAUUUAUCACGUUAGGAUGGUGUAAGAUAUGGAAAACAAGUUGCAGUAGAUGAACUAAGUUUUCUCUAUGGAGAUUCUCGAGCUAAUGGUUUUGGUCCUGAGGUGUGGAGCUUCUUGCAUGCUUAUGUUUUGUAUCAGCUUGAUUCAACUAGUGUAUUUCAUUUACACCGCGGUUGCAGAAUUAUGGUUUUAGUGCUUGAACAAGGAGUCUAAAAUAGAUUGGCAAUUGCCCGGUAGUUUUACAGGUAGACUAACAACCAUGCACAUUUUGUUCAGGCCAAAAUGAGAAUUUUAAUGGGAACUUAUGCUCUUUCUGGUGGAUAUUAUGAUGCAUAUUACAAACGUGCCCAGCAGUGUUUUAGGUGAGGACCUUGGUUCAGAAAAGCUUCAAGGCAGCAUUGGAUGAAAAUGACAUCCUCAUUUCACCUACUGCACCAUCAGUGGCUUAUAAGAUAGGUGAAAAGACAAAUGAUCCUUUGGCAAUGUAUGCAGGCCGCAUCAUGACUGUAAUCCUCACUCUGCUGCUCUAUGCUUAUCAACGAAUUACAGUUUUUUUCUAUUCUGAAUAAGUGCAUCAUUAUUUUCAAAAUAAAUAAUUUUUUAAAAGAUUGUUUGAGAAAAUAAAUAAAUGCUCUUCUGCACGCACAAAUCUGCUGAAUGAAUGGAAUUUAGUUUAUUCAACUCAGCGGAUGACUCAUUAUUUUGAAAUUAAUACAUAAAUUGCCAGGCGUGGACUAUUUACACCCACUGUUUUCAUUUGCCCACAACAAUCAUCUGUUUUGCACUAUUUCGAUUCCAAACAUGAAUAAUGGGAAUACAAUAAUCAACCGGGAUUGUUGUAGAUAUCAAUUCCCUACAAACAUUGCGUAGAUUGUUGCAUGGUGCUUGCUCUGAACUAGUCAAUUUACAGAAGAUAGUAGC